rnacentral:pre_miRNA from 1 species
AACAUUCAACGCUGUCGGUGAGUUUGAGAAAGUGUAAAAAUGUAAACCAUCGGCCGUUGACUGUACC